GUGAGUAACGNGUAUCAAUCUACCUCAUACUAGAGGAUAGCCCGAAGAAAUUUGGAUUAAUACUCUAUAGUAUCAUUUAAAGACAUCUUUAUAUGAUUAAAGAUUACGGUAUGAGAUGAGUAUGCGUUCUAUUAGCUUGUAGGUGUGGUAACGGCACACCUAGGCUGCGAUAGAUAGGGGCCCUGAGAGGGGGAUCCCCCACACUGGUACUGAGACACGGACCAGACUCCUACGGGAGGCAGCAGUAAGGAAUAUUGGUCAAUGGACGAAAGUCUGAACCAGCCAUGCCGCGUGCAGGAUGAAUGCCCUAUGGGUUGUAAACUGCUUUUAUACAGGAAGAAAAACUUUCUCGUAGAAAGCUUGACGGUACUUAAGAUAAGUCGGCUAU
rnacentral:rRNA from 1 species